UGUUAUUAGUAGCAAUGACAACGUGAACUUCCAUUACAGCCAAUACAAUGUACGGGGAUCCCAAUCUCAUCAUCACAUCAGGUAUAAGUCCUGCGAGUUUGCUGAAACCAGUUCCGAAAUUUACGUAUAAAAAGAAACAAAAUAAAGCGAGACGUUUUUCUGACUCCACAUCAGAUCGAGAGGACACCGUUACGUAUGAAAAUGUCGCAAAAGGCGGAAACAGCUAUGAAAACUGCAACAAUU